UACGGGGGGGGCAAGCGUUGUUCGGAAUUAUUGGGCGUAAAGAGCUCGUAGGCGGUUUGUCGCGUCGGCUGUGAAAACUCGGGGCUCAACCCCGAGCCUGCAGUCGAUACGGGCAGACUAGAGUGCUGUAGGGGAGACUGGAAUUCCUGGUGUAGCGGUGAAAUGCGCAGAUAUCAGGAGGAACACCGGUGGCGAAGGCGGGUCUCUGGGCAGUAACUGACGCUGAGGAGCGAAAGCGUGGGGAGCGAACAGG
rnacentral:rRNA from 1 species